GCCCUCUACACACUACCCCUCCGUUUGCGCGUUCCCGUGGAGGGUCCUCCAUAUUAAGGGCCAUCCCAAACCGUGUAGUGCGGAGGGAGAGUGGACUGUUCAGCCCAAUGACGUACAUAUAGAGCUAGACCGCUCACUGGCCGCUGAGAGGCGGUAAAUAGGAGCUGACUUCCGGUAGUGGCAAGAAGUGGUUUCAGAGUGGAACGCCAGCACGGUGGGUGUGGCUAAUAUCUGACCAUGGUGAAGUCGUGUGCUGCCAUCUCCUGCACCAAUCCAUUUGUAAUAUUUCCUUUCAUAAGUUUCCCAAGCAGUCCAAGGACAGCACACUGAGAGAUCAAUGGAUACAGGCCAUCAGUAGAGAAGCGAUGGGGACCAAGAGGAGAUGAUCAUACUUAUGUCUGCAGCAACCAUUUCAGGGAGGAGGACUUCAUCCUCUCAAAACAUGCGCAACACAAGCUUCUCAGGCCAGGGGCUGUACCAUCCCUCAAUCUGGGGAAACCAGAGAAAAAGAUCGCAGUGAGGACAACCCAAAGCAGCCAGGCAGCAGUGGCAUUAUACCAGCACAUGGACAUGGAGCCUGAACAAGAGUCUGAAGAGGACAGUGCUGCUGUUAGUGAACACCAUGCAUACUGUACAGACACUGACACCCUGAAGAGGAAAUAUGACAAUCUAAGUGUACAGCAUGAAAAGCUGAGGCAGGACUUCAACAAUGCCAAACGUAGAGAGAAGCGCUGCAGAGUGACGUUGGAGGCCAUGUUAGCUAAAACCAAGGAAAUACAAGCUCUGUCUGAUGAUGCUCAUUCCAUGCUUGAUGCAUAUAAAGGUAUUCCUUGUUUAGAAGUACAUAUGAGUCACAUCCAGCAUAUGUAAAUAUAAUUAUGUAACUGCACAUUGCUCACCCACACAGUGCACUAGAACUGAGAUCAAUGUUUGUUAAUGCUUCAUGAGAUGAUGACUGGUUCACAGAUAACUGUACUUUUGCCUUCCACAACAUUAUCUAAACAGUUUUGCGGCUGUGAUACCCAACAUUCAUGUGGAAACUAUCUAAGCUAUUAACUAUGUUUGAUCACACUUAAUUUUCAAUUACAGGUAAAUUGAUGUUGACAGACCCUGUUUCUUUACCAGAAUAAUGUCAUUUGUUUGUAACUCCACAACACCUGAAAUUCUGACAGAUAUACAACACGCAUUUAGGUUGACUAUUUAUGAAAAUUGCAAAUUAAACUCAAAGGGUUGACUGAACUUUGAUGGUUCCUCAUGAAGCAUGAUGUGCUGUAUAAAUGCCGUCUACAUACUGCAAUCUGCCUGAAAGUUUGUGAUUGAUCACAGUCCUGCAGUGAUGACAUCCAUAUGCCAGUGUGCACUCAGUCAUAGCAUCACCUGCUGUAGAGGAAAUUACAAGUUUUACACUUUAAUGUUGUACUUUUAAUAAAUUUAUCUGCACUUUUUUUUCAUUUACUUUAAAUUAACUUCUUUUCUGUUGGUUGUUGCAAUUAGUGUCUGACAUGCUUUU